rnacentral:rRNA from 1 species
CGCGUAGGCGGCCUCUUAAGUCAGAUGUGAAAUCCCGGGGCUUAACCCCGGAAGUGCAUUUGAAACUAUUAGGCUUGAGUAUGGGAGAGGGAAGUGGAAUUCCUGGUGUAGAGGUGAAAUUCGUAGAUAUCAGGAGGAACAUCGGUGGCGAAGGCGACUUCCUGGACCAAUACUGACGCUGAGGCGCGAAGGCGUGGGGAGCAAACA